GGACUUGCCGGCACCGAAUCGGCCGCCGCUGCCCGCCAUGGGAGCCGGGGGGGCGCCGCGCCGAGCGCCGGGAGGGGGCAGGGAGGAGGGGGCCUGGCAGCGCGCCCCGCCCCCCACACAAAGCCGGCGGGGGGAGGGGGCUGCGGGGUCGCUACACACUCACACACGCACACUCACACACACUCGCACACUCACACACUUAUAUCCACUCACACUGACACACACACGCGCGGCCGUCUCGCCACCGUGCCCAGCCCGACCCCCUGGCCCGGCCCCCGCACGCUCCCCUCAGGCGGCGGCCCCGCGAGGCGCCCGGCCGCCGGCCGUUGCCCGCCGGCCGUUACGCGCCGCCGUUGCCGCCCGCCCCGCGCGCGCCCCGCGCUGCCCCGCUGGGCCGUGUCAGUCAGACGCGGGCGCUCUCUGAGAGCCGUCUCUGUCGUGCCAAGAUGGCAGAGUGAUUAGAGACAUGGCGCACAUUUUCCCCCUGUGGCACUGAAAAUAGGAAGAAAUUGGGAUUUUGCAUAGUCUUAGCUGUUAGAAAGAGUGGUGAGCACUAGAAGGUGAGACAGACCUCCAGCUGAAAAAUCCUAGACCACAUCUGCAGUGGUAAGGUCACCACUAUUGUGAAACAAAGGUACUCUCACUUGCCUCACAGCCCAGAAGAAUAAGGCAAAAGUUGGAAAAACAGAACUGAUGAUACUUUUUAGCAGAACAACAGGACCUCAUAGGGACCCCUGAGGAGUCUUUGCCAGCAGCAAGAGAGCUGCAGGAGUCAAACCGCAGAGAAGGGAUGUGCCAUGGACUUGAUCCGCACUUCCGACGAGUUCUGCAUGCCCCAGGAAUGCAAGGUCUGGCCUCAGACUCACCAGCAGUAACCAUAACAAGACCCCCAAAUCUUUUUUUUUUUUUUUUUUUUUUUUGCCUGUAACAUUUUAAAACACAGUGAAUUCUAAAACUUUUGAAACUAACUUCUGACUACACAGGUAACCUCCAAAGUAUGGUGCUUGAAAGGGAGGUUUCCCUGCUGUGCUCCCCACCACCAGCAACCUCAUCUUCAUUUUCUGUUCACAGUGUUCUAUUACAGAUGAAUCAGUAUGGUUGAACUCCUAUCAAGUACAACAGAUAUGCCCUGAAUCUCAAUAUAAGCUCUCAUAUAGUAGGGAUAAGACAGACAGCACAAGGGGAAGUUGCUUAUAAACAGACUCAUGUAGCAUCAGAGCUUUUUGAAACCUUUUGCUUUAAAAAAGGAAGCCAACCUCAGAAAACUACUCUACUUUGAAACACCACCACCUUUCUGAUACAUGAAGUCGUCCUAAUGAAGAAGACAAAAUUAAUUCUUUUAUCAGGGACCUGUCACUGGUUUCUCCAAAAAACUGAUAACGCAGUUUUAAUGAAAACCUUAGAACUUUUCCCAAAUACAGUAAUCAUUUAAAACAGUUAUGCCUAAAAUGGAGACAUGUAUAUAUAUAUACAUGAACAGAUAUUAUAGUGUAAAUUUCAGUAACCUUUCCUAAUACACCUUUGCCUUGAAUGGUUAUUCUGUUUAGUGAAACUUUUGAAAAUACCUAAUAGAAUACUUCUCAACACUUUCUAUGCAUAUUAUAACAAAGCAGUGUUUCUCUGAACAAAUUGCACUAACUGAGUUAAUAAUCCAACAAAAAGAUUAAUCUUGAACUCCCAGCAUAGACAAAGCUUCCUCUAAUAUUAGAGGAGAGUUUGGAGAGUAUAACUGCAAGCCCAAAUAGAGCAAAGGGUCUUCAGCAGGUCACAGUGAGCAGACAAAAAUGAAUGUCUUUUAGGAUCAAAUCUGUCAUUCCUUCCAGUUUUCCUGACUAACAAUUGAAGGUUUGGUCGUAAACCGAGCACCUCUCGCACGUCUUGCUACUGAUUCUGAAUCCUGAUCCUCAGUUCAUGAUCACCAAACAGUGGCUUUCAACUUCUUUUUCUACUUGCAGACUCCAGAGACCUUUCAAAUGGAGUUUACACCUCCUGACAGUAGACUCAGUUUUCUCAGCUACUUCUGGCAAGCUCCUUAAAAACAGCCUACAGUCCCCCAGUACCCCAUCAGUCGCAGGCUGAAAACCAUGGUCUUAGAGCAUAUCCUGUUUUCUUGGCAUUUAGGAUAGACUCUUGAUGGAUCUGGAAGUUCUACCUCUGUCCCCUAAUAAUAAGGUCUCUUCAUGUGACAGCAGAUUAUCUCUGCAAUUGUCAUGACUCCUAACUUUUUAGAACUGUUAUUAUUACCGUUUACAUAUUAUUUCAUGUUAUUAUAAUAUAUAUUCUUGUGAAAUUGUUAGCGAUACCGUAUGGAAGCCCAUCAACUGUCAACACAGAAGUUAAUGUAUUUAGAAUGCUCAGGCAUUAUCUGACACACAUCUUAGAUACUGAAAUAAAUUCUGGAAACCAUUUAAUUGUUCCAUUUGUUACUUGGGAGGCAAAGAUUAGCAAAAAGGAAUGCUUUCAGAUUUUUAAUGGCAGCUCAUGAACUCAUAAGGGGAGACAGAAUAUCAGAAUCUAUGGAAGCCAUAAAUUUGUGAGUCACAUAAUGGCAUUGAUCUGAACAUCUCCAUCAAGUUAGGAGAAAAUAAAUCUGGUAUUGACAUUACAGAGACCUUAACAUUAAACACAUUUACUGAAAUGUGGCAGCACAUAUUUCCUGUGUGAAAACCUGUGUUUUUGGUAAAGAAACCUGGUUCAGCAUUGCUCAACAUGGAUUCUGCAAGCAGGUGAAUAACUCUGGCAGACUGGAUCAAUAGGAUUAUUCACAUUUGUUUUACCAAGACAGAAAUACAGGGUCCAUGAUAUCAACUAGCAACUACCAGCCAAAGAUGAAAUCCUGAUCCUACUGAAAUCAGUGAGGAUUUUGCCCCUAAGUUUAAUGACGCCAAAUCCCAUGGGAAAUUUGCAAGAGGAUUUUAAAUCAGUCUAUUAUAUAGUGUGGAUUGGAAAACAAGAAUCCCAAUUCUUAAAAUGCAGGGUAUUCAAAAUACAUCUCCAUUCUGAUUCAAAGCAAAAGUAAUAUUUUUCAAUGUGAGAAAAAAAAGAGGUUCAUACUCCCUACCAUAACGCAUUUGGAAGGGAAGCAGAAACUUCUUACGGGCUUCCAUGAUCGGUACCCUAAUCACAAUGCAGUAGAGUAAGUUUCUCACUGUCUUGCUUGCUGAAGGGUUUGGGUUUUUUUGGUUAGAUAUCUAGCUCUUUUCAAAGCUGGGAAGAGAAAAAACGUGAUUCUGUCUUUGGUGGUAACUAAGUCACCUGCAAGGCCCAGGCUUAGGUCCCUGCUGCAUCUGAGUCACAGGAAGAACCUGGAUUUUUUCUUCCAUUCCCUAAAUGCACAAGGCGAUUUGCUAAGCUCAGUACUUUUGUUCUAUCCAGUCUUUGCAUUUCCAGCUUUAAAUUUGUACUUAAAUUUUUGCAAGCACAGUAAUUUGGACUUCUGAAAAACAAAUAUUAUGCAUAAAAUGAUAGGUGCAAAUGAGUUGCCUAAAGUAAAUUGGUUUAAUUUAUACUCUAUUAUUCAUAUUCCUAUUUAUUAGUUUUGAUGUGUUUUAAAAGGGUACCUAUCCAUUUACUGGAGUUGAUUUUUAGAUAACAUAAAAGCAACACAUCUCUAUAAGUUCUUCAAUUUGGUCUUUAUUAAUGUGUAAGUCUCUUUAAUAUUAUUAUUGAGGUAUUUCUUCUCAUUAUUGUCUGCCACAGAGGAUGAGAUAAACAAGCAGGCCUGAUUUUCCAGUUGGUAAAUAUGUAAGCCGCAUGACAGCUUAAAAGAGAAAGGCAACAACAUCAAACAAAUGGCACAAAUGGCAGUCUCUGGGCAAACUAGAAAUGAUAUGAUAUUUUGCUAAGGCACUGUUGUAAACCUGGGAAAAUCAGAGUAAUUACUGUAGCAGUUCCACUACCACAUAAAAAGACCGAGUGUAAGGAGUGGAGUACAGCUUCCUGCCUGCUAAUGGCAGACCAAGUUCCCCCAUCUCUCCGUAGCUUGAGUGAACAGCACUCCCCAACGGAUUGCUUUCUGCCUUGGCUGGUGCAGUGAGAGCUCCCCCUCCUGUUUCUGUCUUUUUAAACACUGUAGAAAAUGCACCAUGGAACCUCGUAUGUAUAACUGUAUGUGAGGAAAUGUGUGUGUGCGUGUGUGUUUAUAUAUAUAUAAAUAUACAAACACACAUAGAGACACACUAGGGAGAAAGCAGAAGGAAAAAAGGAAGAGCUGCUGUAUUUUUCCAAGUAAUAGCCCCAGACUUUGCACUCCAAAAUGAACAUGUGGUUCUUACUAUUUUUUCACUUAAAAUUGCUGUUAAUUUACCUUAUUGUUCCUUACUUGCCAAGAAGUUUUCAGCUCUCCAUCAGGUCACCUAGUAAUGCCAAUCAUUGUAGAAAACAAAUGUCUAUGCAAUCUUUUGUAAGCUAAUAUAUUCUCAGUUCACCUGUAUUUCAGGUGAAGCCAUAAUAAAUAGCAAUUUAAACUCAAGUAUUCUGUUUGCAAAGCAAAGAAAUUCAUUAUAUGUAUUCAUAGAAAAGUACUGUUUUGUUGGGGGUUUUUUCGUUCAAUUUGAAGUGGAAAUGUUUUCAGUUCUUUUGACUUUUUUGUAAGACAUGCUAAGGUGAUAGAUUAUUUAUGCCAUUAGAAGCAAAUAAAUGCACUAAUUAAUUAAAAUAUCUUUUAAUCUUGGAUCCUAAUCCAAUCUUAAUCUAACUGGAUCUUUUAAUCCAAUCUUUUUUUUUAAUACAGUCAGCCAUCUUCAUACACAUGGAAAACAUGCGUGUGAACUUCAGUUCCAUCAAAUCCCUACUUCCACUUCAGUAGUGUUAUUUCACCCAUACCUUUUAGAGCUAGUACAUUCCAUUCAUUCUUGUAAUUGGAUGAAUGCCCAUAGCAUUAGUAACACAGUAGAGUCUGUAGAUUCCUUUCUGCUGUGGAUACUAAUCUCAAUCCAGAGUUUCCUUAGACGAUUAGAGGCUGUUCUGCAAAAUGUCAAAAUGUAGCCUCUCCAAAGCAGACACAGUAAGGCAGUUGAAGUGAGAGUAGUGGCGGCUUUCCAAAUAUGAAGGUCUGGAAAUGUUUGGAGGUAUUUUAAUAUUAAUGAACAUUUCAGUUUUUGUGUUGCUUUAGAGUAUCAGUGUCGAAUCUGUGCAGAUUAAUGGCAAGAUAAAGUCCUAACACUGUUAAUGUUUUUUAAAGCUUUGGCAAAUGUAGAGAAACAUUAUUUAACUUAUUAUAAUUAAUGAUUGCUCUUCUUGCCUGAAACUUCAUGUAAUUUGAUAAACGGAAAGAACUGUUAACUUGUUUCUCUGGUGCUUUGUUAAAUACUUCUGAGUGUUCUACUAAAAUGCCUUUUUUGUUUGUUUAAUUUCUAAUGUUUCCUACAGCAAAAGUAUACAAGAAGUCUUUUCCUUCUUCAGUAUCAGAGAAAACCAAUGUCAUUAAAAGCCAGUUGAGAUUAAACCUUUAAAAAGGUAUCAGCAAUGCAUGUAAAACCAAAUUAGUAAAAGCUACCCUGGCCACCAAUAUUGACUUUGGGGAAAAAACUCUACCAUCUGUCUACUGCUGCAUCCUAUCUGCUGUGGUUACUCAGUAACUCUGAAUGCAAUGCCAAAGAUCAGGUGUAGCAAUAGGAAGGAUCUGUGGCUGAGCAAGAAACUUAAACACAUCAUACUAGACUUGAACUUGGAUGUUCUACACAUCCGCAACCUCCAGACUUCGUUAGUGCUAAGGACUGUACCUCAGAAUGAAACUUGUGAAUCUUUUUAAAAAGCUUAAUUUGGUUCAAAACAGUGGUCUGCUUGCUCAAUAAUACAUGUUGUUAAGAGUAUAUACCAAAGCCCUCCUCUCCUGAGGGUUUCUUAUUUCCUAGUAGUUGAAACCCAAAAUUUUGACAUGUAUUUUAAAAGGCCACUUUGGGGUAAGUCUAAGGUACUUCAGAGACCCUCCUACUUCUUAUCUUUCCAUCUCCUGUUUCUUUCAUACCUUGAAACCAGAGAACUGUCAAACUCAGAAGUGGUGAGGGGUGAAGACCUACUCUCUCUGCAGCUGGCCCACAGCUGUAAAGCUUCCUCUUCGGUGAACUGAGAAUAUUUGCAGCCAAGUCAAACUCGGCCCUUCACCUGUUAUUUCUCAACAACAACAUAUUCCACCCCUUCCCAUUCUUUCCCUUCUCCAUGCAAACGCAGCAAGACAGAGAAGUCUUCUUGUUUUCAUUUUAAUGUAUGGGUGAGUCUCCCAGAUGCUACUAUGAUUUACGUACCUCAAGAAGUUAAGCAGGCAGGCAGACAAUGCAGAAAAGAUGUGCGGGACAGAGAAAGGAGGAGGAGAAGGGGAGAGGUUGCGUGGGUUUGGGAUAUAGCAGAGAGUUCUCCCUUCCUUUUAAUUUGAUUCUUUUUUUUAAUAGAUCAAUCGUGCUGAUACACUCCUUAAAACAUUAUUACAGUGAUCUACAUCAAGUUCUUCUUAAAAGGAACCCCUCCUCUCUUUGUCCUUCUGUGAUGAAUAAAAGAAAUCUUUACAAUAAAGAAAGUGUUUUAUACAUUUUCUAAUAAUCCUGUAUUUCCCCAGUGAGCUUUGUUGCAUGAUAUAGUAUGUCAGUUUAAGUAACAUCUGUCAAGGGAUGGAAAACAAUUAUAGGUUCUUUUCAUUCAUAAAAGUCAUUCUGGAGUUUUUUAUGCUUAAUUUUCUUGUCAGGCUUUCAAAAACAUUACAUCAUUUUGUCCAAAUUAUCCCCUGCAUUGCAUAUACAAGAUACAGUAGGUUAUUCAUUUCUUUCCUGGACCUAAAGAAACAUGCCAAGAUAUUUAAAGUGGCAUAUGCUAAAUGAUUUAGACCUCGGUAAAGCUGGGCUUUGACAUAUCAUUAUCUGACAAUUACUCGUCUACAGCAAUGCUUGCUUUCCUGGUAGCAUCUCACCAGAAUCUUACACGACAUGUGAUUCAAUCUCUUGAUCUUCUCAGUUAUAUUUACAUGAAUUUUACACAUCCUAAUAUAUAAUGGCAAUGCAUUCACAUCAUCGUGUCUAAAAGUCUUUCAAAAAAAAACCCAAACAUACCUUGGGAAUACAUAACAGAAAUAUCUUCAGGACUAGGAUGUAUCAUGUAUUUCCAGUGUAGGAAAACAGUCUUUAUUCACAGAAUCAUUGAGGUUGGAAGGGACCUCUGGAGAUCAUCUAGUCAACCCCCCCUGCCCCAAGCACAGUCAAAUAGAGCAGGUUGCUCAGGGCUGUGUCCAGUUGGGUUUGACUGUGUCCAAGGAUGGAAACUCCACAACCUCUCAGGGCAACCUGUCCCUCUAUAGUUAAAAAGUUACUUCUUAUGUUUAAAUGGAAUUUCCUGUAUUUUAAUUUGUACCAAUUGCCUGUCCUGUCACUGGGCACCACUGAGAAGUGUCUGAAUCCGUCUUCUUUACUCACCUCACAGGCGUUUGUUCACAUUGAUCAGAUCCCUGCUGAGCCUUUUCUUCUCCAGGCUGAACAAUCCCAGCUCUCUCAGCCUUUCCUUAUAUAAGAGAUGCUCCAGUCCCUUAAUCAUCUUAGUAGCCCUUUGCUGGACUUGCUCCAGUAGCUCCAUGUCUCUGUUGUACUGGGGAGCCCAGGCCUGGACUCAGUACUCCAGAUGUGACCUCACCAGUGCAAAGCAAAGGGGAAGGAUCACCUCCCUUGACCUGCUGGCAACACUCUUCCUGAUGCAGCCCAGGAGGCUGUUGACCUUCUUUGCUGCAAGGGUGUGUUGCUGGCUCAUGGUCAACUUGUUGUCCACCAGGACGCCCAGGUCCUUUUCUGCAAAGCUAGUUUCCAGUCAGUUGGUCCCCCUCCUGUCCUGGUGCAUGGGCUUAUUCUUCCCCAGGCACAGGAAUUCACAUUUUCCUUUGUUGAACUUCAUGAGAUUCUUGUCAAUACAUUUCUUCAGCAAUUUAUUCAAUUUGUUUAAUAAUUCUUUUUAAGCAAUUAGUAUAACUAUUAUCUGAAAGAUUUUGUUUUCCUGAACUGUGUUGCUUUUCAUAAUUAAAUCACGCAUGUAACAUAUAAUGACAGCAAUCUGUAUUUCUUAUUGCCAUAGCCAAAAGCACUAUUUUGCUCAAAGAGAAUCCUUCUCUACACAGAUAAGAUUUUUUUCCUUUGAACAGGACCCAUAUAUGCAUCCAUCUCCAUCCAAGCUUCUUGAAGUCACAUGCACUUAUUAAUUUCUUUUCACAAUACAAUUACUUAAAGCAGAAUUAACUUGUCCUCACUACUCCCUUUCAGAUCACAGGAGGAUGCUAAUAGGUGAUGGUUACAUACAAAUUCCAUCCCCAGAUAGCUUGGGAAGUGACUUCAGCUUUGGCAAACUCCUGGGAGUAAAGGGUCAGGAACUCCAUAUAUAUCUUGACUACCAUGGAUUGAAAUCCUGCUCCUACUAUGGAUGUUCAUGCCAACCCCUGCCAUGCUGUGGUCUGAACUUUGUUUAGAAUAUCGCUAGCAGUCCCCAGAUGCACCAUCACUCCUGAGAGCUCAAGUGGUAAGUCAACUGCCAAGGCUCUGGAUCACUGCCUCCCACCUCUCAGGACAACCUGAGAAGUUGCCUCUUUCAUAUUACAACUGUGUGACAAUUAAAGGGGGGCAACCACUUUAGCCCCAGUGCAAGAAGCUGGAGACUGAAGUUUAUUGACUUAACCUGUACUGCCAACACCAAAACCAGGUCCAAGGCCAACUUCAAAACUUAGCUGCCCACAUGAUUAAUUGAAGCCUCCUUGUCUGGACCUGUGUUGUUAACUAAUAUUGCAACUAUCAGUUCAUUUUGCAGAUAAGAAAUUAUAGGCCCAGAGAGAUAAGUGCCCAAAGCUCAUGUACUUGAAGAAUCUCACAGCUUGAAGCAGAACCCAGCUCUGAUACUUUGUAGAAUAGUGCCAUCACCAUUAGAACAUGUACCGUGACCUUCCUGGAAGUGGCACGUGAGCCUCCCUUUGAAUCAGCUUGACUUUGAGCUCACCCAUGAAACACCAGUGACUUUUGAAAGAAUAUAGGGAUGGCACCACCGAAAGAUUUUGCCUCAGUUGGCUGCAAAUAACGUUAUCUGAAAUAACUGCCAAAGCUGUAAUUUAUCAGACUUUUUCACAGCUUCCACAAAGGCAAGGAAAUUCAAAGUUGAAAGGCUUUCUCCAGGCAGCACAUGCCAGGCAUUUGUGCAUGAAUUGCAGGAGGGGAAAUGAUAUGUUUCUUUUAGAGCUGUUGUUGCCAUCAUGGAAAGUGAGCAAGCAUCUGUGCUUCGGAAAUAAGUGGAAGGAAGGUGUUCCGUGAAAGAAAGCAUGUGGGAAAGCGGCUUAAAAUGGUGAUAGUGUAUGAAAGUGGCAGGAGUUCUGAAUGCCAUUGGGGAGAAGAAACGGAACAAGGCUGACACAUAGAAAGGUGGUGAGAAAGCAAAAAGACAUGUAAAGUGGAGUGUAUUGAAGGAAAAAAGAGAAAUUUGGCUAGAGAAUAGGUCUGAGCAAAUUCCAAAAGUGAGAGAGAAACAAAGAAAAAUGGGAAAAUCAUAAGACAGAUGAAAAGUCUAUUGGAUGGUUGUGGAGGUGAAAGUGUAAGUUAAGGUUUUAGGUAUGUUUUGUUGAGAAAACAGAUAUAAAUCUGAAAAUGAGGUGUCCAAGAAGGACUCCUGAUACAGCAGUGGUCUGUACAUUUAUACUAACCAAAGUCUGUAAGAUGAUUGUACUCUCUAGCAUUUACCAUUGAUCCUGAAGAAAUAAUGAGAAGACUGAUCUUUCCUCAUGUUUAGUAAUACUUAAUUCAAGAGAACUGCUUACUUUAUAUCACUGCAAAUAAGGGUUACACAGCCAAUCUUAAGGUCCUUAAUUUCAUUCCAGGGCUUACUAUUUCCUGUGUUACUACUCUGUAAAGAUGACUCUAGAAUAACAAUUUAAUACUUGAGUGCCCAGAGUCAGGCAGACACUUUGCAUAAAAGUGUUCCCUUGUGCGCGCUGAGUGCCUGCAGCUCCCCCCGGGAAGUGGUGGGUGCUAAGCACCUCGGAAAAUCAGGUCACUGUCACUCAGAAGCUCAGAAAAGAACGGAGGUGCCAAAGUUUAAGAUUAAACUUACAAGUUGGUGGCAUCAUUCUAGAAUAGUGCUUCUCUGAAGGAUUGCCACAUUUUUUGUUGUUUAAAUUUUGGAAUGCAACAGGUACGCAUUUGUAAUUCAGGUGUAAUUAUAAAUCCCUCCAGAGAUAAUAUGAGGAUAUAAGAAAGAGGGAAUGAGAGACAGAAAAAGUGAGCAAGAUGGGGAGGAAUUAAAAAAGAAAGGGACAGAAAGAUAUAUUGUUCAAACCUUCUUUUAGACUAGCUUGGGCAUGCCUUAUUGGCUUUGAAUGCAAACAAUUAGUCAGCAAGCUUAAAAUAAACAUAAUGAAGUGUUUUCUUCCACAAAAUGCAUAAUGAAACUGUGGAACGCAUGUCCACAGGAUGUUUGGGGGAGCAAAAGUGUAAACAGAUUCAAAGAAGAACUUACUUACACAAAGGUCUGGAAAAUACAUCCAGUUUGGUUUAUUAAACAUGGUAGACUUGAUAGAACAUCUGGGUCGAGAAGUGUCUGAAGUGCAGUCAGCUGGAAUCUGGGAGGGCAUGCCACAGGAAAUACUUCUCUGUACUUGCUUGAUUUCUCAUUCUCUUCCCUUAAACAUUUCAUUCUGGCUGUUAUCACAGACAGGGGAUACUAUCUUAGAUGCUCCUUUCAUCUGGCCCAAUAUUCUUUUAUUCUAUUUUGCAUUAGUAGCUUAUGAUUUAUUUCCCUUCUAUAGCUUACUUUACUGUACUGGCCUAAAUCAAUUGUUCUUUCUCUUGUACAACAGGAAUAGCAAUGAUUGCCACAUUGUUAUUUUAAUCGUUUUAGACCAUGUAUUGAAGUGGCAACCAGGCAUUUCAAUUAUAGGGUUUAAAACAAGAACCGAUGAAGUGAGUCAAGGCUAGGUAAAGAUAAAUGUGUCUCCCAUUGUACGCUGAGGGUCACCAUUCUUUGUCUCCAGUACACCUUGACAAAGGGGCAAAUUCAAAAGCAGAGGGAAUCCUACUGAAAAACACCUUUUAUUGAACAGAAGGCUUUCCCUACAUUGGGGGAAAAUGUAUAGGCCAUAUAGUGUGGGUGAGUAUAGUGUAGAUAAAUGAUAUCUUAAUUUAUGCUGUUUUAAUUCCCCAAAGCCAUUUAGUUGGGGCUGUUUAAAAUGUAUUACUUUGUUCAGAUACAGAAUUACAAGGACGGAUUCAAAUGAUUUUGUUUAACUUGGGUUAUCUAACUCAUAUUUUAAAACCAUUUUCUUUAUCAUCUAGACUGACUUUCAUAUAUUCAGACCUGGUUCCCUGAAAGACGUUACUCUCCAGCUGAUCUUACGCAGUGAGUGGGCAGAGAGUGAGAGGAUCCUCUUAGAUAACCAUUUCCUUGAGCACUCAGAGCUUUGAAGUUCGUCAGUAAACAGAAAGCUAGUGCCAUGUCCCUGGUGCUGAGUGUUCCUGCUGUUCUGCACUGUUCAGGAAGUGGGUAGUAGGUUUUUCAGGAACUGGAUCUUUCACGCAGACUUCAAGGGGGAGUCAUAAAUAGAAAGGCACAGAAACCAAGGUGGUAAUAACAAAAGCACCAGUGACUUUUGCAAAGUUCACUGCAGAGGAAAAGUCCAGCUAGCCUUAGUGGAGAAUAUAUAGCUUCCCAUGUAAGUUCAAAAAUUGAAAAAGACAGAAGAAGGUGUACAGAUUUUCCCCCUCAAACUGAUCAUUAUUAGUAAAAAGAACAUUUAAUGUUCUAUCUAUGCUUUGGUUAUGCAUGUGAAUAGCAAGCAGCAAAAUAUAAAUAACACUUCAUAAAUUACAUAUAUUUAGUCCCUGAGAAAUAAGCAUUUUAAGUGAGAAAUGCUUACAUUUAUUUAAAUCCGUAGAAAAUUUAUAUGUUCUGUAUGUUUUCCUUUUUUCCUACUAAACUAGGAAAUUACUCAGUUGUAUCCCAUCCCAAUAAUUGUGGAGUGCUUUAGGGAGAGGUUUUUCAAUCUAUUUUUCACCUAAGAUCCAAAAUCCUAUUUUCUCUGCUGGACUCUCACAAAUCUCACCAUCUUCUAUGAUUUUAAAGGAUGCUAGGAUGGAACUCACUGAAAAAAAAAUCUACAUAAAAUCUAUAGAUUUGUGGGGAGGGGGGUAAAUAGAGGGCAUGUGAGUAAGCCUCUGUUCAGUUUGGCUAUCAUAUAUUGUUUGCUGCAUUUCACUCUUGUCAAGACCAUGAAUUGUUUAGACAAGGGAUCAUGUCCUUUGUCACAGUUUUGAAACGUGUCAGAAUGGAGCUUCCCACUGCUACUAGAAUGCAGCUAAACACGAAUAGCUAAUAGGUUGCUAAGUUGCAGAGGUGGGGCUAAGCAGCUGAGGUUUCACAGGGAAGUUAAUAAUGGAGUAGGUAUGGGGCAACUGGAGAAGCAGAAUGCUCAAAGGCUGGUAUUCUACUGCCUGAUGGAUCCCAUGUCAGCUUCGGUUGCCUAUGACCAGAACCAGCACAGUACUUGUCUUCCUCCUCGUCCUUCUGUAGAUUACUCAGCUCUAAAACACUGCUGUUCUAAAGGACCCUCCAAACCUCUCCAAAUUCACCCAUGGGGAAUCAUUGCCAGUCAGAGGAAGCAGCCUAAGAAGCUGUCUUACAAUUGAAAUUGGGUUGAGAGGCAAAAAAAUAGUCACUCUAGGAGGGAGGGGAGUUAUCAGCCGCACAUUCAUCUGUUUCUGUUCCUACUUGGUUUGCUAAAAUGGAGGGAUUUCAAUUGAUUUUGUUUUCUUUGCAGCACUAGCUGGUGAGAAUGGAGCUGCAUUCUGUGAGCAUGCAGCGCAGGAGGGGCACGCCCCAUUGCCUGAGCAGCACUGGGAAGAGCUAUCAGCAGCCCUGGCUUCUGAUCUGUGCUAUGCACUCACUAGGUACUAUAGCACUGUGUUUUGUGUGCAAGGUGAAAAUGAUAAUAUACACCAUACAAUGGACCUUUAUAUGUCUGCUUAUUUAUUUAUUUAUUUAUUAAAUACAAUUGAAACAGU